rnacentral:rRNA from 1 species
UGAACGCUGGCGGCAGGCCUAACACAUGCAAAUCGAACGGUAACAGGAAGAAGCUUGCUUCUUUGCUGACGAGUGGCGGACGGGUGAGUAAUGUCUGGGAAACUGCCUGAUGGAGGGGGAUAACUACUGGAAACGGUAGCUAAUACCGCAUAACGUCGCAAGACCAAAGAGGGGGACCUUCGGGCCUCUUGCCAUCGGAUGUGCCCAGAUGGGAUUAGCUAGUAGGUGGGGUAACGGCUCACCUAGGCGACGAUCCCUAGCUGGUCUGAGAGGAUGACCAGCCACACUGGAACUGAGACACGGUCCAGACUCCUACGGGAGGCAGCAGUGGGGAAUAUUGCACAAUGGGCGCAAGCCUGAUGCAGCCAUGCCGCGUGUAUGAAGAAGGCCUUCGGGUUGUAAAGUACUUUCAGCGGGGAGGAAGGGAGUAAAGUUAAUACCUUUGCUCAUUGACGUUACCCGCAGAAGAAGCACCGGCUAACUCCGUG